AUUGUGGACGACAAUGAGGUUGUAUCCCAUAUUCUCAAUGGCCUAGAUUAUGACUAUCAUCCUUUUGUUGCAUCUAUCAUGGGGCGUUCAGAUCCUAUCUCUGAGUGAGCUAUAUUCUAUGCUACUUGACU
rnacentral:snoRNA from 1 species